rnacentral:rRNA from 1 species
AGUGAACGCUGGCGGUAGGCCUAACACAUGCAAGUCGAACGGCAGCACAGUAAUAGCUUGCUCUUACGGGUGGCGAGUGGCGGACGGGUGAGGAAUACAUCGUAAUCUACUUUUUCGUGGGGGAUAACGUAGGGAAACUUACGCUAAUACCGCAUACGACCUACGGGUGAAAGCAUGGGAUCUUCGGACCUUGCGCGAUUGAAUGAGCCGAUGUCGGAUUAGCUAGUUGGCGGGGUAAAGGCCCACCAAGGCGACGAUCCGUAGCUGGUCUGAGGGGAGGAUAAGCCACACUGGAACUGAGACACGGUACAGAGACUGAGGGGAGGCAGAGGUGGGGAAUAUUGGAAAAUGGGGGCAAGCCUGAUCAAGCCAUACCGCGUGGGUGAAGAAGGCCUUCGGGUUGUAAAGCCGUUUUGUUGGGAAAGAAAAGCAGCAGGUUAAUACCCCGCUGUUCUGACGGUACCCAAAGAAUAAGCACCGGCUAACUUGGU